rnacentral:rRNA from 1 species
UUCGACCUCAAAUCAGGUAGGACUACCCGCUGAACUUAAGCAUAUCAAUAAGCGGAGGAAAAGAAACCAACAGGGAUUGCCUUAGUAGCGGCGAGUGAAGCGGCAAAAGCUCAAAUUUGAAAUCUGGCACUUUCAGUGUCCGAGUUGUAAUUUGAAGAAGGUAUCUUUGGGUCUGGCUCUUUGUUCUGAGUUUCGUGGGAAUAG